ensembl:lncRNA
GUUAAAGGGUUGUCUCUAUGUCUCUGUGUGUUUGGGGUUAAAGGGUUGUCUCUAUGUCUCUCUGUGUGUGGGGUUAAAGGGUGGUCUCUAUGUCUCUGUGUGUGGGGUUAAAGGGUGGUCUCUAUGUCUCUGUGUGUGUGGGGUUAAAGGGUUGUCUCUAUGUCUCUGUGUGUGUGGGGUUAAAGGGUGGUCUCUAUGUCUCUGUGUGUGUGGGGUUAAAGGGUUGUCUCUGUGUCUCUGUGUGUGGGGUUAAAGGGUUGUCUCUAUGUCUCUGUGUGUGGGGUUAAAGGGUUGUCUCUAUGUCUCUGUGUGUGGGGUUAAAGGGUUGUCUCUAUGUCUCUGUGUGUGGGGUUAAAGGGUGGUCUCUAUGUCUCUGUGUGGGGGUUAAAGGCUGGUCUCUAUGUCUCUGUGUGUGGGGUUAAAGGGUGGUCUCUAUGUCUCUGUGUGUGGGGUUAAAGGGUGGUCUCUAUGUCUCUGUGUGGGGGUUAAAGGGUUGUCUCUAUGUCUCUGUGUGUGGGGUUAAAGGGUUGUCUCUAUGUCUCUGUGUGGGGGGUUAAAGGGUUGUCUCUGUGUCUCUGUGUGUGUGGGGUUAAAGGGUUGUCUCUAUGUCUCUGUGUGUGGGGUUAAAGGGUGGUCUCUAUGUCUCUGUGUGUGGGGUUAAAGGCUGGUCUCCAGGUCUCUGUGUGUGUGGGGUUAAAGGGUGGUCUCUAUGUCUCUGUGUGUGGGGUUAAAGGGUUGUCUCUAUGUCUCUGUGUGUGGGGUUAAAGGGUGGUCUCUAUGUCUCUGUGUGUGUGGGGUUAAAGGGUUGUCUAAAUGUCUCUGUGUGUGGGGUUAAAGGGUGGUCUCUAUGUCUCUGUGUGUGGGGUUAAAGGGUUGUCUCUAUGUCUCUGUGUGUGGGGUUAAAGGGUUGUCUCUAUGUCUCUGUGUGGGGAGUUAAAGGGUGGUCUCUAUGUCUCUGUGUGUGGGGUUAAAGGGUUGUCUCUAUGUCUCUGUGUGUGGGGGAGUUAAAGGGUUGUCUCUAUGUCUCUGUGUGUGGGGUUAAAGGGUUGUCUCUAUGUCUCUGUGUGU